rnacentral:rRNA from 1 species
UACGUAGGGUGCAAGCGUUGUCCGGAAUUAUUGGGCGUAAAGAGCUCGUAGGCGGCUUGUCGCGUCGGCUGUGAAAUCCCGUGGCUCAACUGCGGGUCUGCAGCCGAUACGGGCAGGCUAGAGUUCGGUAGGGGAGACUGGAAUUCCUGGUGUAGCGGUGAAAUGCGCAGAUAUCAGGAGGAACACCGGUGGCGAAGGCGGGUCUCUGGGCCGUAACUGACGCUGAGGAGCGAAAGCAUGGGGAGCGAACAGG